UGUAAGCAACUAGCCAGGUGGUUUC
rnacentral:piRNA from 1 species